CAGAUGCUGGUUCAAGUUAAAGAAGUUUUAUCCAAGCUUCCGUGUCUUGUUGAAAUUUCAUUAAAAGAGACGGAGGAAAUAACUAUUUGUGGAGACACACAUGGCCAGUACUACGAUCUUCUAAAUAUCUUUGAGCUGAACGGUUUACCAUCUAUAACUAAUCCUUACCUGUUCAACGGUGACUUUGUGGACCGCGGCUCUUUCUCUGUAGAAGUCAUUCUC